UACAGAGGUCCCGAGCGUUGUUCGGAUUCACUGGGCGUAAAGGGUGCGUAGGUGGCGGUGAAAGUUUGAUGUGAAAUCUCCAGGCUCAACCUGGAAACUGCAUUGAAAACUGCGUCGCUUGAGGUUUGGAGGGGGGACUGGAAUUCUCGGUGUAGCAGUGAAAUGCGUAGAUAUCGAGAGGAACACCAGUGGCGAAGGCGAGUCCCUGGACAACACCUGACACUGAGGCACGAAAGCUAGGGGAGCAAACAGG
rnacentral:misc_RNA from 1 species